AGUGAAAGCUGGAGGUAGGCCUAACACAUGCAAGUCGAACGGCAGCAGAGUAAGCGCUUGCUCUUACGGGUGGGGAGUGGCGGACGGGUGCGGUAUACCUCGGAAUCUACUUUUUCGAGGGGGCUAACGUAGGGAAACUUACGCUCAUACCGCAUACGACCUACGGGUGAAAGCCUGGGAGCUUCUGACCUUGUGCGAUUGAAUGAGCCGAUGUCGGAUUAGCUAGUUGGGGGGGUAAAGGCCCACGAAGGCGACGAACCGUAGCGGGUCUGACAGGAUGAUCAGCCACACUGGCACGGAGACACGCUCCAGACUCCGACGUUAGGCAGCAGUGUGGAAUGUUGGACAAUGGGCGCAAGCCUGAUCCAGCCAUACCGCGUGGGUGAAGAAGGCCUUCGGGUUCUAAAGCCCUUUUGUGGGGAAAGAAAAGCAGCAGGUUAAUACCCCGCUGUUCUGACGGUACCCAAAGAAUAAGCACCGGCUAACUUCGUG
rnacentral:rRNA from 1 species